GCAGUUAAAAAGCUCGUAGUUGAAUUUUGGGGUGGCCCCAGGAGGUCCACUUAUUUGUGAGUACUUUUUGGGACUGCCCUUCCAUGGCAACCUCUUUUUGGAGGGGGCCAUAAUUACUUUGAGUAAAUGAGAGUGUUCAAAGCAGGCAAGCGCUUGAAUCUUUUAGCAUGGAAUAAUAAAAUAGGACGAUGAUUUAUUUGUUGUUUUCUAGGACAUGUAAUGAUUAAUAGGGACGGUCGGGGGCAUUAGUAUUCAGUUGUAAGAGGUGAAAUUCUUAGAUUUUCUGAAGACUAACUACUGCGAAAGCAUUUGUCAAGGACGUUUUCAUUAAUCAAGACGAAGUUAGGGGAUCGAAGAUGAUCAGAUACCGUCGUAGUCUUAACCAUAAACUAUGCCGACUAGGGAUUGGGCGACGCCUCAUGUAUAUGACGCGCCCAGCACCUUACGAGAAAUCAAAGUUUUGGGUUCUGGGGGAGUAUGGUCGCAAGGCUGAAACUUAAAGGAAUUGACGGAAGGGCACCACCAGGAGUGGAGCCUGCGGCUUAAUUUGACUCAACACGGGGAAACUCACCAGGUCCAGACACAAUAAGGAUUGACAGAUUGAGAGCUCUUUCUUGAUUUUGUGGGUGGUGGUGCAUGGCCGUUCUUAGUUGGUGGAGUGAUUUGUCUGCUUAAUUGCGAUAACGAACGAGACCUUAGCUUUUAUUUGCGCAAGCUAACCUUAUGUUGGUUUUGGGCUAUAAAAGGACUAUCGAAUUCAAGUCGAUGGAAGUUUGAGGCAAUAACAGGUCUGUGAUGCCCUUAGACGUUCUGGGCCGCACGCGCGCUACACUGACGGAGCCAGCGAGUUUACCUUAGCCGAGAGGUUUGGGAAAUCUUGAGAAACUCCGUCGUGCUGGGGAUAGAGCAUUGUAAUUUUUGCUCUUCAACGAGGAAUUCCUAGUAAGCGCAAGUCAUCAGCUUGCGUUGAUUACGUCCCUGCCCUUUGUACACACCGCCCGUCGCUACUACCGAUUGAAUGGCUUAGUGAGGCCUCUGGAUUAAGUUUGGGAGUGGGGCAACCCAUUGCUAAGCUGAGAAACUGGUCAAACUUGGUCAUUUAGAGGAAGUAAAAGUCGUAACAAGGUUUCCGUAGGUGAACCUGCGGAAG
rnacentral:rRNA from 1 species